GGAAGGAAUGGAGCUGAGAGCAUUCACUCCCAUAGAUCAGAGUGAAAAGGCCGUAUGUUACAGGUCACAGUGAUGAGGAAGACAACAAUUUGAACUCUGGGCAUUUUAUACAUUCAAAUUCUGAGGAAAUAGAAAAUCGGGAUUUGCAAUGAAAAUUCUUGAAAAGGAAACCGAGGCAGAGGAAUGAUUGAAGUGCACCCAGCCAAAAGGCAAACGAUUCCAAAUAAGCUCUCAGUGAACUGAUGGUUCAAUCAUACAGGGAACAUGAAAGACAUACAGAAAAUAAAACAAAGGGAAGACUUUCAGAAACUGCAAAAUGACAUGAAGACAAAUGGAACAAUAUGGAUAUAACAAUGCAGCAUAAGUGCAAGGCAAAAUAUGACAGAGACAUAGCUGAAAAGAAAGGAAGGAAAAAGAAUGGCAAUGCAAGAAAAGGUGGAAAUAGUCCAAUUCAAUUCAAUCUUUAACUAACUUGUCAAUGAACAACACCCUGAGAUAUACAGAUGUACAAUGAUAAAAGUCUAACUCAAUUUCUCCAAAUCAAAUUCUCAA